rnacentral:snoRNA from 1 species
GGCCUCCUGGUACUUAUCACAGGCUGUGUUCUUACACUGACUGUAUAAGACAAGGAGACAAAGUAAAUCUACCCCAAAUAUGCCUCAUCCCAGGCCCUAUGACUGUUCUGUAUUGUGAAUGGAAAGACACGG